AGUACUUUUGAACUCUACAACAUUACUGCCGACCUGAAUACUGCUCGGAGUAGUAUUGAUCAACUAAUAUUUAAGAAAAUCUGUACUUGCAAAAAAUGGGAUUUAAUAGACGAUAGCAAUAUUUAAUCACCCAAAAGUAAUAAAACAGCAUUUUUCAAGCCAACCAAGAAGAGAAUUUGGUAAAAAAUCACAAAAAAAUUCCGUUGACAAUAUAGUAAAAAAAAUACACUAGCAAGGGCUCAUAAACAUAUUUUACAAGAUACAUAAUUUAGUAAUGACAAUUAGCUCAUUGUGAAUUUCGUAUUAGCAUUAGCAUUAUGUAUGUAUUAUCCGUGAAAUCAUUAGUUAACGAUAUUUUGCGUAGCUAUUUUGUUUAUGAGAUUUAACUUAGUACUGAGAAAUACGAAUUGGAAUAAAAAGAGGAGACAUUAAGCCGUCUGGUGGAAGGGCGGGCGGAAGGAAGGACGGCGGGCCAUUGCCCUGCCUGCCCGGCCGGCGUAUCUCGUAUUAAUAACGUCAAGCUGGCACUGGCAGCAUCCGCGGAAACAGGCGCUCGGGAAGAAUUAGCGGCCGUGUGUUAAAUGCCGCCUAUUUGCAGAAACAAACAAUGAAAGGUCGAGCUAUGGCUGCGCAUACUAAUGAAGAUAACUAAUCGGGAUGGGCAUUGCCGAAAAUUUAUUGGUUAGAACAGAAAUCGUUCUUUAACUGUAAAUCUUUCGGGUUUUGUUCUUAAAUUUCUAAUAUCCGUGUGUCGAGCAAAGUUUUACUUGGAUUUCUUCUUUAAUAACAUUAGACAUUUAUUAUGUAACAUGUU